rnacentral:lncRNA from 1 species
GUGCUUGUUUACAUUUUGUGUUUUAGCUAUGUGGUGAUUGAGUUAAGAUUGUUAAGUCUUUCAAUCGACAAACAUUGCUUUGAACGUAGGUCAAAUAGUCAGUUGGGGAAUUUGUUUAGACUUUUUACUUUCUUUGGCACACAAUUAUGUCGAUUUGACAUACCAUCUGGUUACUAUUUAUUUGCUUUUCGUAAUAUAUACAUUGUUCCUCAUUUGAUAGUGCUUUUUAUCAUUUUUCUUUCCUUCUUAAUUGGAUAUAUUGCUUCACUAUUGUUUUAUAAAUUUUGUACAUAUUGUCACACUACAUGUGCUUUUAUAGCAGUCAUUGGGAAACGGUUUGGCGAUGCAGGGCUGGGCGAUCUCCUGUUGGAGUCUGGAGUUAUUGGGUCAGGUUCUUUGACUGGUGUAUUUGAAGGUAAACAUUAUAAUCGAGCGCUGCGAUUGCUCAAAAUUGUAUCUGAAGCUUUUGAACGAUUACGUUGGGAAGCAUUUGGUUCUUGGCUUAAUUCAAAUGAUGAGAAUGAAUUUCUCGAUCCUAAUUUUCAGCAUCUGUUCUGUCAAUC